AAGUUGGAUUCACAACGGAUAUGGGGUAGGAAGGUAUUUGGAACGUUCUUCAACGAGUAGAUCUCUUGUGAGGAUUAAAGGCUACCGAUCGAGGAGUGUGUGAAAAGCUUGGAUCAUCAGAGUGACUAAAUCUAGUCAUCAACUUCGGCAAAGAAGAAAUCGCAUAGGAGAUCUCGUCAAGGAAUAUUGCAAAUCAGGUG